rnacentral:rRNA from 1 species
UACGGAGGAUGCAAGCGUUAUCCGGAAUCAUUGGGCGUAAAGCGUUCGUAAGUGGCUGUGCAAGUCUGCCGUUAAAGACAGUGGCUUAACCACUGAAAGGCGGUGGAAACUGCGCAGCUAGAGUGCGGUAGGGGUAGAGGGAAUUCCCGAUGUAGCGGUGAAAUGCGUAGAGAUCGGGAAGAACACCAGUGGCGAAAGCGCUCUACUGGGCCUGCACUGACACUGAGGGACGAAAGCUAGGGGAGCGAAUGGG